AGCUCCAAUAGCGUAUAUUAAAGUUGUUGCAGUUAAAAAGCUCGUAGUUGGAUUUGUGGCUGGCCGCGAGGUCCAGUAUUGUUCUGGUACUAUCGUGGCUGGCCAUCCUUGGGUGGAAUCUGUGUGGCAUUAGGUUGUCGUGCAGGGGAUGCCCAUCGUUUACUGUGAAAAAAUUAGAGUGUUCAAAGCAGGCUUACGCCGUUGAAUAUAUUAGCAUGGAAUAAUGAGAUAGGACCUUGGUACUAUUUUGUUGGUUUGCGCACCGAGGUAAUGAUUAAUAGGGACAGUUGGGGGUAUUCGUAUUCCAUUGUCAGAGGUGAAAUUCUUGGAUUUCUGGAAGACGAACUACUGCGAAAGCAUUUACCAAGGAUGUUUUCAUUAAUCAAGAACGAAAGUACGC
rnacentral:rRNA from 1 species